rnacentral:tRNA from 2 species
GUUGUUAUAGUUUAUUUAAAACUUUACAUUUUCAUUGUAAGAAUAAGAAAUUUUUCUUUAACAAUA